AUUGAACGCUAGCGGGAUGCCUUACACAUGCAAGUCGAACGGAGUGGCGAACGGGUGAGUAAUGUAUCGGAACGUGCCCAGUAGCGGGGGAUAACUACGCGAAAGCGUAGCUAAUACCGCAUACUAUUGGAGCGGCCGUUAUCGGAUGAGCUAGUUGGUGGGGUAACGGCUCACAAAGGCGGCGAUCCGUAGCUGGUUUGAGAGGACGACCAGCCACAGUGGGACUGAGACACGGCCCCGACUCCAAGGGGAGGCAGAGGGGGGGAAUUUUGGACAAUGGGGGAAACCCUGAGCCAGCCAUCCCGCGUGUGCGAUGAAGGCCUUCGGGUUGUAAAGCACUGUUGGCAGGAAGGCGGUACCUGCAGAAUAAGCACCGGCUAACUACGUGCAAGCAGCCGCGGUAAUAC
rnacentral:rRNA from 1 species